AUUUGGAAUAUAUAGGCCCUGUCGUGGGCACACGGAAUGGCCCCGCCGUAGUUAUACGUGACCGGCAGGCUAGACAAUGGUGAUUAAAUUUGAGCAACCAAAUGGGGGUCGGGCGGCCGGGGUGACCCGCGCAGUAGGUCCCAUUACGGAAAAACAGUGGAGUGAGCGAGCCUAUGGAAACCCCCCGUACGAGGGGGGUGAUCCUUAUUUCACAAAUAUAACGAGCAUAAAGGGAGUCCCAGCGUCCUAGAUUUAAGGGCCAAAGGCCGUUGAAUGGAAGGGGCCCUCCUCUCUCUUUUGGGGGGCCCUUUGGUUUUUUUUUUUUUUCCCCCCCCCCCCUCCGCCGUGCUCUACCGAUGAAUGCUCAGGAGCCUGGGAUGGCUUAGGAGGGUGGCAACGACCCCCCAGAGCCGAAAACUGGUCAAACUCGGUCAUUUAGAGGAAGUAAAAGUCGUAACAAGUUUCCGUAGGUGAACCUGCGAAGAUCAUUACCGAGUGAGGCCCUCUGGGUCCAACCUCCCACCCGGUUUAUUUUACCUGUGCUUCGGCGGGCCCGCCUUAACUGGCCGCCGGGGGGCUUACGCCCCCGGGCCCGCGCCCGCCGAAGACACCCUCGAACUCUGUCGAAGAUGUGUCGAGGAAAAUAUAAAUUAUUUAAAACUUUCAACAACGGAUCUCUUGGUUCCGGCAUGAUAAGAACGCAGCGAAAUCGAUACGUAAGUAAUUCAAAUUCAGUAAUCAUCGAGUCUUGAACGCACAUUGCGCCCCCUGGUAUUCCGGGGGGCAUGCCUGUCCGAGCGUCAUUGCUGCCCUCAAGCACGGCUUGUGUGUUGGGCCCCGUCCUCCGAUCCCGGGGGACGGGCCCGAAAGGCAGCGGCGGCACCGCGUCCGGUCCUCGAGCGUAUGGGGCUUUUCACCCGCUCUUAGGCCCGCCGCGCUUCCGAUCAACCCAAAUUUAUCCAGGGUGACCUGGAUGAGGUAGGGAACGUGCGG
rnacentral:rRNA from 1 species